rnacentral:rRNA from 1 species
UACGUAGGGUGCAAGCGUUGUCCGGAAUUAUUGGGCGUAAAGAGCUCGUAGGCGGCUUGUCACGUCGGGUGUGAAAGCCCCGGGGGCUUAACCCCGGGUCUGCAUUCGAUACGGGCUAGCUAGAGUGUGGUAGGGGAGAUCGGAAUUCCUGGUGUAGCGGUGAAAUGCGCAGAUAUCAGGAGGAACACCGGUGGCGAAGGCGGAUCUCUGGGCCAUUACUGACGCUGAGGAGCGAAAGCGUGGGGAGCGAACAGG